CUCUUGAUUCAUGGAGGUCUGGCCAGUUCCAGCCCCUUCUGAUGGGGUUGGUCUGACACUUCUGUGGCUUUCCACUUCCUCACAUGCUCUGCUCAGGAAGAAGACACAGGCAGGCCCUUCACCUCUCCCCUGUCCUUGGGUGGCUGAGCUGGGAACGUCAAACAGAGGAACUGUUCCUUGAGGAUAAAUCUUCAUUUCUCUCAUGUGAAGAACUAUGCCGAGAUCUGCCCGUGGAAAAUUACAUUCUAGGAGCAAGAAUCACAAAGGACCUUUGCUUUCAGACUUUUCUUUAAGAGGUCCACAGCAUAAUGAGCAAACUGGAAUGAAGUGUAUUAACCUUUGAAAGAUGAAAGAGGGUUACAGCUACCCCAGAGGGAUCACUGUUGGGCCAGCUGGGCAUCUUUGCAAAGGGCACAAGAUAGUCCUUGAGGUCAGUGGAAUGAGUUGCAACAGGAUGGAAGAGAAACUGGGGAGAACCCUGGUCCCAGGAAUGUUAUAUGUCAAGACACAAUAAUUUGUGAAGUUUUCAAGUUGUCAAGUGACAAAGAUCAUGCAAACUGUCCUAUGGAGAAGUAUUAAAAUUUCCUCCUCCACAAAGCAGGAAGAGUGGACACAGCCCUGGACUUCCUCUCCCAGAUCCUUCCUGACCAAGAUGCCCUGGUCCAAGGGAGGAGCUGUGACCUCCAAAGACCGUGUCUUGGCACAUCAGGACAUACUCAUGUGCAUAGCACACGUUCGUUGUUCUGCUGCAAAACAGAAUAUCAGCCAUUAGCUUCUGCAGCUAAUUAUUGGAUUUCAUAACUGGCUCUUCAGAAACAGCUACAAGGAUUUGGUUGAGCCUUUUUACUGAGCUCUGGGUAAGGGUUUCCAUGCAGCAAGAGAAGAAUCACUGUAUGGGUCACAGUUUCUUCUCUUCAGAAAAGCAAGGAAUCCUCAGCUCACCUGUGUCAGUUCACCUAUAGCAGCAAGCCAGUGACAGAGCUGGGACUUAACCCUUGACAUGGGACAUUUGUUUAUCAGACCGGGAGCUGGGGACUCAUAUCUGGCUGUACCUAAGAUUUGUACUCCCUUGCAUGGGUAAAGCAAGUCAAAAACCGACCUGGCUGGUGCUUGUGCAAAUUCCAUAGUGGUGGUGGCUUGAAAAGUGGGGUACUAGUUAGAAACCAGUUCUUGUUACAGUCACGAAUGUGAAGAGACCUUAAAGCAAAAUUACUGGGAAAGUGGUGUAGGUUAGACGAUGAAAGAAUCACUAGGAAUAGCUUCUCCCUACCAAGGCAGUGCAAACCACUGAAAAUCAUGUGUUUGCACUGAUAAUUAAUUCCCUGACUACUAUAGCAGAGUGAAUCUAUAAAAAAAAAAAAAUCUGCUCACACUUCUCCCCUACCACAUCACAUUUCAAAUCUAUAAAGUUGUAGCAGAGCUAUUUCAAAGCAGAAACCCAAAGACAAUGCCAAAGAGCUGCUGCUUCCUACAAGUCUUCUGCCUACUCACGAUGGACCAAUUUAUGAAGCUGACAAAACUCACCAUUAAAACAUGAAGACCAUGAAAGUGUAAUGUGUAAUACCCAGCUAAACAAAAUGACUCUUUUAUCUCUGACUAUUUGGUUUAACAACUGUAGCAAGGGUGUACACAAAUUUUCAGAAAUACACUUACUGCUUAUGCCUCUCCACUAAGGGCUGGUACCUUGGCCAUACCCUGGCAGAACUGAGGUGGCAUCCAGAACCUGUGAUAUCUUGAGAACUGAAUGUUCAGCUUCUCAGGUGAUAAACUGUCCAUUAAUGUAGUGAUAGAAAUGGAGUGUCAUAUUUAAUGAGAAAACAAUUCCUAGGACACUUACCUGUUACCUUUCCAGUGUGUGAAAACUGGUUCCUUUGUAUUGUUUUGUUGUCUGUGCUCUUGCCAAGUGUGUAAGAUGGCACCAAGUGACUCCAAACAAACUUGAACUGAAGUACACAGGGAGAGGAUUAAUCAGUCAGGCACUUAAGCAUAAGCUUCAUGUUAAGCAUGCAACAUAAUGUUGUUAAAGUGAACUUAGUGGUAUUAUUUGUAUGUUUAAAGUUAACCACUGAACUUAUCUGUUGUGCUACAUCAGUGCCUAAUAGCUUGUGCACUUACUUGCAAAUUUAAGAUACUUAAUGUGUUUAUUCUGGACUCUUCCUGUUGUUGUGCAUCUGAAAUUGUUACCCUCAACCAAGCAGGGUAGCACUGUACAGCAGCAGUGCAGGCCAGCUCUUCCUCAGCCAGGGUUGUGGACAGGGAAUGCACAAAGCAGCUCUCCAGUAGCUCUCCAGCAGCAGAUCAGGUUCUUCAGAGCCCUCAAGCAAAAGUACCUAGUUCUGGCAUUAGCCUCAAGGGCAGCAGGGUUAGGCCACUGCUGAAGGCUUUUGAAAGUUUUUGCUCACUGGAUUGGGAAUAGGGAGAGGAACACUGUGGUUUCCCUGCUGCUGUCGGAGACAGAAGAGCUGAGCUCUGGUCUUUCUUCACUCGUGGAUGUUCUCCAUUUGUGCAAGUCCUCUCACCUCAUCCCUAGUUUGAGGAGGACAUAUUUUGCUGUCACAACUCCUCUUUGUGCAUGCAAAGGCAAUGGACUCCAAAACCUAGAAACAUGAAACCUCUGUGUAACAGUGGCAUGUGAGCUGGACCACCCCACCUGGCUCCUACUUGAUUUGUAUGGAAGGAUGGUCUGGGGAGAUUUAGGCAAUAAACCAAUUUUCCCACCCACUAAUAACCAAAAAAUAAAUGUUCCUGAGUGAUAUACUCAGCACCUUCUAUUCUCACUGAAGUAAACAGUUCCUUUGGGACUACUUUCAUGUGUCUUUAGGGAAUGUAACCAAAUUAUACCACAUGAGAGCUGGUGAUUUUAAUGUUAUGCUGUAAGGGGAAAACUAUAAACAUAACAGGAAAGACUGGAUGUUUUCCAUUCAUAAUUUUAGAAAGGUUUCUUCUCAUCUGUACAUAUUAGCUUUUCAACAUCUCUGGCAAGAUUUAAAUGAAUUAUUUAACUGGAAUUGAAAAGCAGGUCUUACUUUUAAAUUAACGUGAUAAAAGCUAUUGUAUUUCUUUAAUUUUUAAAAGAUUACUAUAGAAGAUAAAGAUCAAAACCAGACCCAAGAGGCGAUAAGGCCAAGAAAAUACCCAGCCUCUAACCUCCUGGCAGGAGCUGGAAUAAUUUGGAGAAAUGACUGGCUAUGAUCUGAAGCAUGGUCAGUAGAGUUUGGAGAACUCAGAGGUUUUAAUCGGAAGCAUUUCCAUGUUGUGCCAGUCUUUUGUGACUGGGAGUACAGGGUGUGUGGAGCUGGGAGUGGUGCAGGGCUCAAGGAGCUUCUGCUGCAAGAACUGUGCCAAGUUUUGUGCAAAACAUGGCGAAAAGUUGAGGAUAGGCCUUGUGUAGAAAGAUUAGCUUGACAUUUCGGUUUCUUCUCCUCUGUCAGUGGGAAAUGUGUAAGAUAGGGUGAGCCCAGCAGGAGAUUUCUGGUUCAGAAACCAAAACUGGCCUGGGAGAAGCACUCGGGCAGUCAGGUGAGCUCUGCUCAUAGGGUCAAGAUUUGGGGUUGAAACCAGGGAUGUUUUUACAAGCUAAUGACCCCCUCAAGGGCAGCAAACAUGGUCUGUGUCAUAUGAGAGGUGGUAGCACCCACUCCCUGCUCCACACAGCUGAAAACUCCUGUUUCCUUGGAUGAGGGAUCUACUUGCUGAAAAAGUCAAUCAUCUGAAUUAUAGAGCAGGAGAGUUUCUAUCCCCACAUCCACCCUCCCCAAAAAAACCUCUCCCCAGUAUUUCCAUGCUUCCCCUUUUGCCAUUAAGAUGAGAUUUUCUCCUGCAACUGAACAGUAAGUGCUUCAUAAACAGUUCCUCCGUCUGCAAGUGGACCUUGAAAAUUGAUUAUUUUUUGUUUGUUUCUUUUAGUCUCCAAAUGUUUCUGCUAUUAUAAGGCAGGCAGUUAUUUUGCUAGGAAGGAAUGUGAAGAAAUAGAAAAGUUGAAAGCGAUUAGGACUCUGUCUUUUAAGACAGAGCCUUUCACAAAGCCUGGCAUUCAGCCCGCUCAAGAGUGAGCAUCAUAAGACACCCUGAAGCCUUGAAAUCCUUCAGUUUUAAACCCCAUGGGGUGGCUUUUGCAUUAUCAGGGAAGAGAUGAUAUUGCAGAGACUAUUUUCUUCAUAUUUUAAAGGCCUCUGAGUUAAUAUUUAUUCUAAGUAGAUGUUUAUUUUUGGAUACUUUUAUUGUUUAUAGGAAGGCCACAAAGAGUUCAAUGUUAUGGAGAAAUGGUUACUUUGUAUUUAUGGUUGAAGAAAAAUAAGAAGAAAAAAAAGAAGGUUCCAAACAAUCCUACCCCAGUUCUUUAUUUCAGGAGACAAUGUUCUUUCCACCCAUGCACAGGCAGUGCUUUACAGGCUGUGUAAUAAAACGCUGUUCCAGAUAUUGUCUAAAUAGAAACAGAUUUAACCCUGCUGUUGUGACUUGCAUUGCUGGGUAAUGAAAGUUUUCAAUCUGGUUUUACUUUGUUUUAUGCUCGCUGGAGAACUGCACAUCCAAAAAAUCCUACCUUCUGCACAGAGACCUGUUGUUCCAAUGCCAUCUGUUUGUGUAUAAAAGGUGAACAUCCCCAGAAAGAAACAAACAAAAAAGCCUAGGAUUUCACCUUUUCUGGUAGGCAAUGAAUUGCAAUUCAGCCCUCAAAGUGACAUUUCCUGCAAAGACUGCAGGUUAUGGAACAGAACCCAGUGGUUUCAAACGAGACUCGAAGGUGCUUAUGACAAGGAGGUGGUGGUGUCUAUCACUUCCUGACAAGAGGUCAGAAACCCAAAAAUUUCUAACCCUAAAAUGCUUUGAUAAAGAGUCAAAUCAUUUACCUAUGCAGUCAUUCACUGAUGGCAUGCUCAAAACUGCUGAAAAGACUCUUUAAUUUAAGUUGGCUUUGAAAAUUACCAAUUGCUGUGUUACCUAAAGCAACCUCCAAGUGUUUCUCCAUAGGGGAAAAGCCCUGUGAUAAGAGAUAGUCCCUGAAGAUCUGAGAACAAAAGAUGGGCUGCAGCAUCUGCAUAUCAGGAAACGGUCCAUUACUCAUUAAUUGCUCCAUUUCCGUGCACCAACGGGGGUCACCCUGUCACUGAGGACCAGAAAGAUUAUAACAAUAAUGU